GCCUGAGCGGGAGGCCAGGACGCCUGGGUCCCACCCGGGGGAGUCGAGGAGCGGGAAUCCGGGCCCGGAGAGGCCGGGGGCUGGGUGGAAGUGUCUGGACUCGGGGCAGAACGGCAGAAGAAUAGUAAUAAGGAGGGGCAGCGGCAGGAGGGAGCCUCGAGGAGAGACCCCGACCCCCACCUACAGCCAAUGGGCAGGAGCAGGAAAGGAACAGGAUGCACCGGAAAUGAAAAAACCAGUGGCCAGGCUGUCGGGAGCCCUCCCCUUGGCCCCUCCCCAAUGGGGCAGUGGGACCAGAGCCCCCUCCCCCACCAGCCCGGGAGCCACCGCAAUCAUUAGUCACCAAGCAGAGCACUCUGGGAAAGGAGGGGCAAAGCAACUCCCCUCGGGCGGACCCUGCCCCCUGCGCCCAAGUGCCCUCACCCCUGAAUCUCUUUGCCCCCAUCAUCCAGCAGACUCUGAGGGUCUGGCCAUUCCCGACCUGGGAUGGGGGGGGAACCAAGGGGUGUGGCAGGUUGAUCUGAAGAAUUCCGUAUUUUUGCCAGGCACCUCGCAACCCUAAAUAACAGCCUUUCCUCCGA